rnacentral:misc_RNA from 1 species
GUAGGUGAACCUGCGGAAGGAUCAUUGAAAAGUCUGUAGUAGGGGGGGGGAACCCUGGAAGAUAGGUGAGAUGGCAACUGAUGUUGAUAUCUUUUCUUGAAACCGGGAAAUAAAAGCCACUGGUGACUAUUGUGUUGCCGCCGUGCUGGCUGCUGAUAGCAAAACCAGCUGCUGGUGCUUCUUUUCUCCUUUUUUCUUGAUUUCCACUUUUGAUUCCUGCCUGAUGAAUUGAGGGUGUGCUAUGUGCUCC